rnacentral:rRNA from 1 species
AGACCCGAAACCCGGUGAUCUAGCCAUGGGCAGGUUGAAGGUUGGGUAACACUAACUGGAGGACCGAACCGACUAAUGUUGAAAAAUUAGCGGAUGACCUGUGGCUGGGGGUGAAAGGCCAAUCAAACCGGGAGAUAGCUGGUUCUCCCCGAAAGCUAUUUAGGUAGCGCCUCGUGAAUUCAUCUCCGGGGGUAGAGCACUGUUUCGGCUAGGGGGCCAUCCCGGCUUACCAACCCGAUGCAAACUGCGAAUACCGGAGAAUGUUAUCACGGGAGACACACGGCGGGUGCUAACGUCCGUCGUGAAGAGGGAAACAACCCAGACCGCCAGCUAAGGUCCCAAAGUCAUGGUUAAGUGGGAAACGAUGUGGGAAGGCCCAGACAGCCAGGAUGUUGGCUUAGAAGCAGCCAUCAUUUAAAGAAAGCGUAAUAGCUCACUGGUCGAGUCGGCCUGCGCGGAAGAUGUAACGGGGCUAAACCAUGCACCGAAGCUGCGGCAGCGAACGUAUCACUUAAAGCGAUUCAGCGGGUUACGAUUGACGGAGCGAAGCGACGUCAAAGCGUAUACAAAGUCGAGUCGGUUUAAGGAUACGUUCGUUGGGUAGGGGAGCGUUCUGUAAGCCUGUGAAGGUGUGUCGUGAGGCAUGCUGGAGGUAUCAGAAGUGCGAAUGCUGACAUAAGUAACGAUAAAGCGGGUGAAAAGCCCGCUCGCCGGAAGACCAAGGGUUCCUGUCCAACGUUAAUCGGGGCAGGGUGAGUCGACCCCUAAGGCGAGGCCGAAAGGCGUAGUCGAUGGGAAACGGGUUAAU